AUGAUUGAUCUACGAAACAAAAGCCACCAUAACUACUCCAGUUAUAGUGAAUACAAUUUAAUACUUAAAUAUGCAUCUAUAAUAAAUAGAAAAGUGAAGAAAAAGCUUCUAACUAGUCAUGAAUAUCAAGACCUUGAUAAAAGAAAAGUGAUAUGCCAAAGGAUUGGAGUUGCCCUGAGAUGUGUAGGGUGA